AUGAACGCUGGCGGCGUGCCUAAUACAUGCAAGUCGAGCGAACAGACGAGGAGCUUGCUCCUCUGACGUUAGCGGCGGACGGGUGAGUAACACGUGGAUAACCUACCUAUAAGACUGGGAUAACUUCGGGAAACCGGAGCUAAUACCGGAUAAUAUAUUGAACCGCAUGGUUCAAUAGUGAAAGACGGUUUUGCUGUCACUUAUAGAUGGAUCCGCGCCGCAUUAGCUAGUUGGUAAGGUAACGGCUUACCAAGGCGACGAUGCGUAGCCGACCUGAGAGGGGGAUCGGCCAACCUGAAACGGGGCAACGGCCCGGACUCCUAGGGGGGGCAGCGGUAGGGAUUCUUCGCAAUGGGCGAAAGCCUGACGGAGCAACGCCGCGUGAGUGAUGAAGGUCUUCGGAUCGUAAAACUCUGUUAUUAGGGAAGAACAAAUGUGUAAGUAACUAUGCACGUCUUGACGGUACCUAAUCAGAAAGCCACGGCUAACUACGU
rnacentral:rRNA from 1 species